rnacentral:rRNA from 1 species
GACGAACGCUGGCGGCGUGCUUAACACAUGCAAGUCGAACGGAAAGGCCCUGCUUUUGUGGGGUGCUCGAGUGGCGAACGGGUGAGUAACACGUGAGUAACCUGCCCUUGACUUUGGGAUAACUUCAGGAAGCUGGGGCUAAUACCGGAUAGGAGCUCCUGCUGCUGGGUGGGGGUUGGAAAGUUUCGGCGGUUGGGGAUGGACUCGCGGCUUAUCAGCUUGUUGGUGGGGUAGUGGCUUACCAAGGCUUUGACGGGUAGCCGGCCUGAGAGGGUGACCGGCCACAUUGGGACUGAGAUACGGCCCAGACUCCUACGGGAGGCAGCAGUGGGGAAUAUUGCACAAUGGGCGGAAGCCUGAUGCAGCAACGCCGCGUGCGGGAUGACGGCCUUCGGGUUGUAAACCGCUUUCGCCUGUGACGAAGCGUGAGUGACGGUAAUGGGUAAAGAAGCACCGGCUAACUACGUG